rfam:Toxocara canis scaffold307, whole genome shotgun sequence.
GGGGCAGUAGCUCUGUGGUAGAGCUCCCGCUGCGUACGCGGGAAGACCUCGGUUCGAUUCCCGGCUGCUUGC